GUACACUCCUACGGGAGGCAGCAGUGGGGAAUUUUGGACAAUGGGCGAAAGCCUGAUCCAGCAAUGCCGCGUGAGUGAAGAAGGCCUUCGGGUUGUAAAGCUCUUUUGUCAGGGAAGAAACGGUGAAAGCUAAUAUCUUUUGCUAAUGACGGUACCUGAAGAAUAAGCACCGGCUAACUACGUGCCAGCAGCCGCGGUAAUACGUAGGGUGCAAGCGUUAAUCGGAAUUACUGGGCGUAAAGCGUGCGCAGGCGGUUUUGUAAGUCUGAUGUGAAAUCCCCGGGCUCAACCUGGGAAUUGCAUUGGAGACUGCAAGGCUAGAAUCUGGCAGAGGGGGGUAGAAUUCCACGUGUAGCAGUGAAAUGCGUAGAUAUGUGGAGGAACACCGAUGGCGAAGGCAGCCCCCUGGGUCAAGAUUGACGCUCAUGCACGAAAGCGUGGGGAGCAAACAGGAUUAGAAACCCGAGUAGUCCCAUGA
rnacentral:rRNA from 1 species